rnacentral:misc_RNA from 1 species
UCCGGCUUGUCACCGGCAGUUUCUUUAGAGUCCCCAGCAUAACCUGAUGGUAACUAAAGAUGAGGGUUGCGCUCGUUGCGGGACUUAACCCAACAUCUCACGACACGAGCUGACGACAGCCAUGCAGCACCUGUCUCUGAUCCGGCCGAACCGAAGGUUUCAUUACAAAACCGGCGAUCAGGAUGUCAAGAGCUGGUAAGGUUUUUCGCGUAGCCUCGAAUUAAACCACAUGCUCCACCGCUUGUGCGGGUCCCCGUCAAUUCCUUUGAGUUUUAAUCUUGCGACCGUACUCCCCAGGCGGAUGACUUCACGCGUUAGCUGCGUUACUAAGGGAUUUAACUCCCCCAACAACUAGUCAUCAUCGUUUAGGGCGUGGACUAC